rnacentral:rRNA from 1 species
UACAGAGGGUGCGAGCGUUGUCCGGAAUCACUGGGCGUAAAGGGCGCGUAGGUGGCGGCCCAAGUCCAUGGUGAAAGCUCGAUGCUCAACAUCGAGUCGGCCACGGAUACUGGGUUGCUCGAGCACUGUAGGGGCAGAUGGAAUUCCGGGUGUAGCGGUGGAAUGCGUAGAGAGUCCGGAAGAACACCGGUGGCGAAGGCGGCGACCUGGGUCGA